rnacentral:rRNA from 1 species
UACGUAGGUCUCAAGCGUUAUCCGGAUUUACUGGGCGUAAAGUGUCCGUAUCCUGAUAUAUAAGUCCGUUUUCAAAUACCCCGACUCAAUCGGGGAAAGGGGAUGGAUACUGUAUAUCUAGAAGUUAUUGGGGGUUAGUGGAAUUUCCGGUGGAGCGGUGAAAUGUGUUGAUAUCGGAAAGAACGCCGAAAGCGAAAGCAGCUAACUACAAUAAACUUGACGGUGAUGGACGACAGCGUGGGGAGCAAACAGGAUUAGAUACCCUGGUAGUCCACGCCGUAAAUCAUGCCUGCUAGGUGUUUUCUUCAGCUUGCUGAAGGGAGUGCCGUAAUCUAACGAGUUAAGCAGGUCGCCUGGGUAGUAUACUCGCAAGAGUGAAACUCAAAGGGAUAGGCGGGGGAACACACAAGCAGUGGAUUAUCUAGAUUAAUUGGAUAAUAAGCCAAGAAUCUUACCUAGAAUUGACAUGCAUUGUGUCUUCUAUGAAAGUAGAAUAUUCUGUAGCAAUACAGAAGCUUUGCACAGGUGGUGCAUGGUCGUCGUCAGCUCGUGCCGCAAGGUGUCUAGUUAAGUCUGGAAACGAGCGCAACCCUCAUACUUAGUUAGUAUGUCUAAGUAGACUGCCCGGGUAACCGGGAGGAAGGAGAGGAUGACGUCAGAUCCUCAUGCCCCUUACAUCUAGGGCUUCAUAGAUAAUACAAUGGGUAGCACAACGAGAAGCAAUAUCGCGAGAUGGAGCAAAUCUUUAAAUCUACCCCUAGUUCGGAUUGUAGUCUGGAAUUCGACUACAUGAAGUUGGAAUUGCUAGUAAUGGCGAAUCAGCCAUGUCGCCGUGAAUAUGUCCCUGUUCCU